AGGUAAGCUACUAAGAGCGAAUGGUGGAUGCCUUGACUGGUAAAGGCGAUGAAGGACGUACUAGACUGCGAUAAGCUACGGGGAGCUGUCAAGAAGCUUUGAUCCGUAGAUUUCCGAAUGGGGCAACCCAAUGUAUAGAGAUAUACAUUACCUAUAUAGGAGCGAACGAGGGGAAUUGAAACAUCUUAGUACCCUCAGGAAAAGAAAUCAAUAGAGAUUGCGUCAGUAGCGGCGAGCGAAAGCGCAAGAGGGCAAACCCAGUGCUUGCACUGGGGGUUGUAGGACUGCAAUGUGCAAGAGGUAAGUUUAGCAGAACAUUCUGGAAAGUAUAACCAUAGAGGGUGAUAGUCCCGUAUGCGAAAAACAAACCUUAGCUAGCAGUAUCCUGAGUAGGGCGGGACACGAGGAAUCCUGUCUGAAUCCGGGUCGACCACGAUCCAACCCUAAAUACUAAUACCAGAUCGAUAGUGCACAAGUACCGUGAGGGAAAGGUGAAAAGAACUGAGGUGAUCAGAGUGAAAUAGAACCUGAAACCAUUUGCUUACAAUCAUUCAGAGCCUUAUGUAGCAAUACAGGGUGAUGGACUGCCUUUUGCAUAAUGAGCCUGCGAGUUGUGGUGUCUGGCAAGGUUAAGCAAACGCGAAGCCGUAGCGAAAGCGAGUCUGAAUAGGGCGCUUAGUCAGAUGCUGCAGACCCGAAACGAAGUGAUCUAUCCAUGAGCAAGUUGAAGCUAGUGUAAGAACUAGUGGAGGACUGAACCCAUAGGCGUUGAAAAGCCCCGGGAUGACUUGUGGAUAGGGGUGAAAGGCCAAUCAAACUUCGUGAUAGCUGGUUCUCUCCGAAAUAUAUUUAGGUAUAGCGUUGUGUCGUAAUAUAAGGGGGUAGAGCACUGAAUGGGCUAGGGCAUACACCAAUGUACCAAACCCUAUCAAACUCCGAAUACCUUAUAUGUAAUCACAGCAGUCAGGCGGCGAGUGAUAAAAUCCGUCGUCAAGAGGGAAACAACCCAGACUACCAGCUAAGGUCCCUAAAUCUUACUUAAGUGGAAAACGAUGUGAAGUUACUUAAACAACCAGGAGGUUGGCUUAGAAGCAGCCAUCCUUUAAAGAAAGCGUAAUAGCUCACUGGUCUAGUGAUUUUGCGCGGAAAAUAUAACGGGGCUAAAGUAAGUACCGAAGCUGUAGACUUAGUUUACUAAGUGGUAGGAGAGCGUUCUAUUUGCGUCGAAGGUAUACCGGUAAGGAGUGCUGGAGCGAAUAGAAGUGAGCAUGCAGGCAUGAGUAGCGAUAAUUAAUGUGAGAAUCAUUAACGCCGUAAACCCAAGGUUUCCUACGCGAUGCUCGUCAUCGUAGGGUUAGUCGGGUCCUAAGUCGAGUCCGAAAGGGGUAGACGAUGGCAAAUUGGUUAAUAUUCCAAUACCAACAUUAGUGUGCGAUGGAAGGACGCUUAGGGCUAAGGGGGCUAGCGGAUGGAAGUGCUAGUCUAAGGUCGUAGGAGGUUAUACAGGCAAAUCCGUAUAACAAUACUCCGAGAACUGAAAGGCUUUUUGAAGUCUUCGGAUGGAUAGAAGAACCCCUGAUGCCGUCGAGCCAAGAAAAGUUUCUAAGUUUAGCUAAUGUUGCCCGUACCGU
rnacentral:rRNA from 1 species